UUCUGGUCUAAAGAACGAAUUUCCUGAAGAAGGGGACCCUCAAGGAUUUUAAAUUCAUUAUCGGAGAUUGUUUUUACAUCACUUAAAAUACUGCAAGCCCAUCUUCGGAGCUCAUCAUCUCUCGAGAAGAGAAGACUUAUGACACCUGGCACUAGGUUUUUCGAGAGCCGAAGAAAACCGGACUCAAGAAAUCUGUUUCGGAACAAGGGAAAGAUUUCUUUAUUAUGUAAAAUACGAGGAGAGUAUAAGAUUUCGUAGAAGGCGCAUAGUAUAGGUUUAGAGGCCGAGGACGUGUCGAUUUUAGGCACUGUUUUGAGAACUUCCUGUAACCGAAAAAUGUCCCAACUAUAAAUUUUCUCCAUUACAAUCUCAAGAGUAUUUGGGUCAAAGUGAAAAAUGUUUAAACAUAGACUUUUGAAAUCAUCUAAAGAUUGGUGAUAUUUAACUAUACAUUUGGGGCAUAACUGAAGGCGUUCGUUCAAAUGUUUUUUGAACCAUACCAGAUACUCGUUAUCAUUUUGAAAAGAAAAUAGAAAAAGACAUUCACGAACUGCUACUUGUAAUUUAGGAUCACAAACCCAAUGAGGGUUUUGUCUGUUAGUAUUUAGGUAUGAAAGCGCCAAAUGCAAAACUUUAUUGGACCCUUCGAAAGAUGGGUGUUUUUGAUUUUCCUGAAUUUUUCUUAUUAAUCUAUCAAAAGCCUCGUCAUUUUCCAUAACCACAAGCUAAUGCUGCAUUCUCACUCUCGAAGUAGACUUAUUAAAGCGCGACUGCAAUUUUUCAAAAUCUAGGUUUCUAAGGAAGUAAAUUACACUAUUCACUAUAAACAUUUAGUGCAACCAAUCAUUUGAUGUCCACACAGCACUCGAUUAUCGCAUUGAAAUAAAAUAGCCUUAAGAGAAAUUUUAAAUAAAAAAAUGAACGUAUAUUUUGAAAGUGUAUAUAAAUUCAUGUACCAAAAUCACGCUUCUUUAUUGUAAUUAAGAUAUAUAUGAUUAUCCGAAAUAUAUUUUAAACAUUACUAUAUAUAAUGUGACAACUUAAAAAACUUUCUUACCCAUUAUAAUCCGAAGUUUGUGAUUGUGUGUUUAAUUCCUAGUUUCAAAUAUGACUAUUUUCUUCACUGAGCAAAGAAUCACAGUUCAUUUUAUUCAGUAUAUUUAAAAAUUUUGCAGUAACAUGAUAUAUUCGUUUCAUAUAUUUCCUUUGUAAGGAUUUAAUUCGCAUGCAAUCUUUGCGUCAACAUACAAGCUUAAAUCAUUUUUGCUAGUUCUUUGUGAUAUUCAUACAUUAAUAAAAUAGACGUCAAGGAAUAAUCAAUCCUUGUUUUGAAUAAAAAUUUUCUUUUAAACUUUUAAGCUGUUCACGAAUUGACCUGCAACAAAGAAAAAAAAAAUAUUGAUCAAUCAUAUAACUUUUCUAUAUGACUUUGUCUCUCAAAUGAAUCAAAUAACCAUAAACAAAGCCGAAAACCAACUGGAUGUGAAAUUUUUAAAGAAAAUAUUCAGUCAAAAUUACUGAUUACCAUUUUUCUCAAAAAGCAAACGUGCGAGGCGCUUAUAGUCAGAAAGAAGAAGUUCAAUUUCACCGAUUUUAAGAUCGCUAGCAUCAGAAACAGUCAAAAAGCGUUCCAAAGGUGGGUCGCCCACGAAUUCUACAGAAUUGGAAGAAUCUUCUGAACUUUUGGCAGUGUGAUUGGCUACUUUACUAAGUAGAGAGGCAUAAGAUUUCUCAAGUGCUAGUCCCAGAUUUCUUAAAUUAGAUAAAGAUGAGCGAUUCACAGGGUAGGGUUCUGCACUCGGAUCAUGAAGCGAGUUAGAGGUCGAAACUGUUUCGCUAUUAGCUACCUCAAGUGAAAGAGGAUCAUCAGAGGGUUGAAUUGACGAUUGAGUUAAAAGAUUUGGACAAGCUCGAAGAAUAAAAGUAAGGGCUGCCUCAAAAGUUGUGAGACAGUAUCUUUGCUCUCCGCUUAAAAAAUCUGCAUUUCGAAAGCGUAACACAAAAUUCAGGUGCGAUAUUAAAUGAAAUCCGGGAUAACAGAGAAUGCAAUAUAUGGUCAAAUUUAAUAAAGAAUCAGCAUUCAAUUCUUCUUGAGGAAGUUGAGAGGCAUUCAAUAUACUUGAAUUAACGGUCAUAAAAGUGUUUAUUUUCGAUCUAGGUGUGUGUUGCUCAUCGAGAGCAAAAAAUGCUUCAGAGACUUCAUGUAACCGGUUUGUAAGUUUUUCAUCAUCAGGUAUUGGAAUGCAAUUGAUAAGUUCUUUCUUUUCUUCAGAAGCAAUAAAUUUUUUUAACAAGUCAUCUUUGGCAGCAUCCGUACUUGUAGAUAAACAGAAAAUCCUAACACAAUAUUAGUAAACAG
rnacentral:lncRNA from 1 species